rnacentral:rRNA from 1 species
GAUGAACGCUGGCGGCGUGCCUAAUACAUGCAAGUCGAGCGAACAGACGAGGAGCUUGCUCCUCUGACGUUAGCGGCGGACGGGUGAGUAACACGUGGAUAACCUACCUAUAAGACUGGGAUAACUUCGGGAAACCGGAGCUAAUACCGGAUAAUAUAUUGAACCGCAUGGUUCAAUAGUGAAAGACGGUUUUGCUGUCACUUAUAGAUGGAUCCGCGCCGCAUUAGCUAGUUGGUAAGGUAACGGCUUACCAAGGCAACGAUGCGUAGCCGACCUGAGAGGGGAGUCGGCCCCCCGGGACCUGGACAACGGCCCGAACCCCAAGGGAGGGCGGAGGGGGGAAUUUUUCCGAAAGGGGCGAAACCUUGUCGAGGCAACCCGCGGGGGGGAAUAAGGGUCUUCGGUUCGAAAAACUUUUUUUUUGGGAAAAAAAAAAUUUGUAAAAAACUAAGCCCGUCUUACCGGUACCAAAGAAGAAGCCCCCGCCAACCUCCUG